rnacentral:snoRNA from 1 species
AAGACUAUACUUUCAGGGAUCAUGUCUGUGGUGUGUUACUAGAGAAGAUUCUCUGACUGUGCACAAGGAGGAGGUGUAGUGUUCUCUCCUGAGUAUGAAGCUGGCUCUUGGUGUUGCUUUGCUGCAACUGCCACUUGCCAUUGAUGAUCCUUCCUGCUUUUCUACCAGGAGCUGGAGAGAGAGGCUGCAGUCAAGUGGG